CCUACGGGGGGCUGCAGUGGGGAAUAUUGGACAAUGGGCGCAAGCCUGAUCCAGCCAUACCGCGUGGGUGAAGAAGGCCUUCGGGUUGUAAAGCCCUUUUGUUGGGAAAGAAAUCCUAUCGGUUAAUAACCGGUGGGGAUGACGGUACCCAAAGAAUAAGCACCGGCUAACUUCGUGCCAGCAGCCGCGGUAAUACGAAGGGUGCAAGCGUGGCGUGGAGUUACUGGGCGUGAAGCGUGAGUAGCGGUGUGAAAGCCCUGGGCUCAACCUGGGAAUUGCAGUGGAUACUGGAUCACUAGAGUGUGGUAGAGGGAUGCGGAAUUUCUGGUGUAGCAGUGAAAUGCGUAGAGAUCAGAAGGAACAUCCGUGGCGAAGGCGGCAUCCUGGGCCAACACUGACACUGAGGCACGAAAGCGUGGGGAGCAAACAGGAUUAGAUACCCCUGUAGUC
rnacentral:rRNA from 1 species